ACGGGUGAGUAACGCGUGGGAACGUGCCUUCCGGUUCGGAAUAACCCUGGGAAACUAGGGCUAAUACCGGAUACGCCCUUAUGGGGAAAGGUUUACUGCCGGAAGAUCGGCCCGGGUCUGAUUAGCUAGUUGGUGGGGUAACGGCCUACCAAGGCGACGAUCAGUAGCUGGUCUGAGAGGAUGAUCAGCCACACUGGGACUGAGACACGGCCCAGACUCCUACGGGAGGCAGCAGUGGGGAAUAUUGGACAAUGGGCGCAAGCCUGAUCCAGCCAUGCCGCGUGAGUGAUGAAGGCCUUAGGGUUGUAAAGCUCUUUUAUCCGGGACGAUAAUGACGGUACCGGAGGAAUAAGCCCCGGCUAACUUCGUGCCAGCAGCCGCGGUAAUACGAAGGGGGCUAGCGUUGCUCGGAAUCACUGGGCGUAAAGGGCGCGUAGGCGGCGUUUUAAGUCGGGGGUGAAAGCCUGUGGCUCAACCACAGAAUGGCCUUCGAUACUGGGACGCUUGAGUAUGGUAGAGGUUGGUGGAACUGCGAGUGUAGAGGUGAAAUUCGUAGA
rnacentral:rRNA from 1 species